AGUCGAACGAACUUCUUUAUCACCGAGUGCUUGCACUCACCGAUAAAGAGUUGAGUGGCGAACGGGUGAGUAACACGUGGGCAACCUGCCCAAAAGAGGGGGAUAACACUUGGAAACAGGUGCUAAUACCGCAUAACCAUAGUUACCGCAUGGUAACUAUGUAAAAGGUGGCUAUGCUACCGCUUUUGGAUGGGCCCGCGGCGCAUUAGCUAGUUGGUGGGGUAAAGGCUUACCAAGGCAAUGAUGCGUAGCCGAACUGAGAGGUUGAUCGGCCACAUUGGGACUGAGACACGGCCCAAACUCCUACGGGAGGCAGCAGUAGGGAAUCUUCCACAAUGGGCGAAAGCCUGAUGGAGCAACGCCGCGUGGGUGAAGAAGGUCUUCGGAUCGUAAAACCCUGUUGUUAGAGAAGAAAGUGCGUGAGAGUAACUGUUCACGUUUCGACGGUAUCUAACCAAAAAGCCACGGCUAACUACGUGCCAGCAGCCGCGGUAAUACGUAGGUGGCAAGCGUUAUCCGGAUUUAUUGGGCGUAAAGGGAACGCAGGCGGUCUUUUAAGUCUGAUGUGAAAGCCUUCGGCUUAACCGGAGUAGUGCAUUGGAAACUGGGAGACUUGAGUGCAGAAGAGGAGAGUGGAACUCCAUGUGUAGCGGUGAAAUGCGUAGAUAUAUGGAAGAACACCAGUGGCGAAAGCGGCUCUCUGGUCUGUAACUGACGCUGAGGUUCGAAAGCGU
rnacentral:rRNA from 1 species